rnacentral:rRNA from 1 species
AUGUUGGAGCUGCGGAUGGCGAAGGCGAAGGGAGGCAUCUUCGAGGAUGUCCUGGAGGCGAUCCUCGACCUGGUCAAUGUGGCCAACGUCAACUGCUCCAGCAAGGGCUUCUCGCUCCAGGCCCUGGACACCGAACAGGUCGUCUUCCAGUUCUACCGCUGCGACAAACACCGCUCCAUGUGCAUCGCAAUCGCCGACAUAGUCAAUUUCCUCCGCGCCUCCAAAGAUGGUGACAUCAUCACCAUCAAGGUCACCGACCAAAACUUUGAAGACAUUACCAUAACAUUCGUGUCGCCCGACAAGACUAAAACUACGGCUAUGGAUUUGCGGCUUGUGGAUGACAGAAGCCAUCACCUCAAAAUCCCGGAUUGGCACAAUAUGGAGUCAGAGUACCAGGCCAUUUUCUGCAUGCCCUCUAAGGAGUUUAUGUUGAACUGCAAGUCCCUCAGCGUCAUCAACGACGAUGUUGUCAUCACGGUGGAUGAGAAGGUCAUCAGCUUCUUUACUUCACGAAAAAGAAGGUGCAUGAACAUUUCCCAUGUGCCGAACAAAACUGACAAGCCAGAAAAAGCUAGUGUUACCCUUACACAUAUGCGAGGGCCAGUUUCAUUGACCUUGAACCUGAGGUACAUGAAGUCCCGCGCCAAGGUGUCUACCCUGUUUGAUCAAGUGAAGAUCGGUCUCUCCACCAAGCUACCUUUGAUGGUCGAGUGCAAAAUUGCAGAGAAGGGCUACAUCAGGUAUUUCGUGGCACCACUAGAGGAAGAGGAAGGGAAAACAGAGACCGAAGAGGCGGAGGGGGAGGAAGGGAGGCAAAGGAAGAAAGCAAAAAAAAUGAUGAAACAGGAGAUGAGAUGCUGGGCUGAUGAAUAA